rnacentral:rRNA from 1 species
GAUGAACGCUAGCUACAGGCUUAACACAUGCAAGUCGAGGGGCAUCAGUUUGGUUUGCUUGCAAACCAAAGCUGGCGACCGGCGCACGGGUGAGUAACACGUAUCCAACCUGCCUCAUACUGGGGGAUAACAGUUAGAAAUGACUGCUAAUACCGCAUAAGACCACAGCACCGCAUGGUGCAAGGGUAAAAACUCCGGUGGUAUGAGAUGGAUCCGCGUCUGAUUAGCUAGUUGGUAAGGUAACGGCUUACCAAGGCAACGAUCAGUAGCCGACCUGAGAGGGUGACCGGCCACAUUGGGACUGAGACACGGCCCAA